GAUGAAGAACGUAGCGAAAUGCGAUAAGUAAUGUGAAUUGCAGAAUUCCGUGAAUCAUCGAAUCUUUGAACGCACAUUGCGCCCUCUGGUAUUCCGGGGGGCAUGCCUGUUCGAGCGUCAUUAUAACCACUCAAGCUCUCGCUUGGUAUUGGGGUUCGCGGUUUCGCGGCCCCUAAAAUCAGUGGCGGUGCCUGUCGGCUCUACGCGUAGUAAUACUUCUCGCGAUUGAGUUCGAUAGGUCUACUUGCCAGUAACCCCCAAUUUUUACAGGUUGACCUCGGAUCAGGUAGGGAUACCCGCUGAACUUAAGCAUAUCAAUAAGCGGAGGA
rnacentral:misc_RNA from 1 species